rnacentral:lncRNA from 1 species
GACCGGAAGCUUCAUGUGGACGAUCUGUAGAGACCAGACACACUGUGUAGCUACAUUGUGAUGAUUAGACUCUCCCGACGGUGAUCAGAUUACGGUGAUCUACUACCCACACAAAGGUAUUGUGUUCUGAACACAUUAUAGUAAAGUGUUUACUAUUCGAAUUUGAAUUUUAAAUUUAAAUAAAUACAUGCUAUAUAUCAUAUUUAGAUCCUAGUGUAG